GAAAUGCGAUAAGUAAUGUGAAUUGCAGAAUUCAGUGAAUCAUUGAAUCUUUGAACGCACCUUGCGCUCCUUGGUAUUCCUUGGAGCAUGCCUGUUUGAGUAUCAUGAAAUCUUCAAAGUAAAUCUUUUGUUAACUCAAUUGGUUUCUACUUUGGUAUUGGAGGUCUUUGCAGCUUCACACCUGCUCCUCUUUGUUCAUUGGCUGGAUCUCAGUGUUAUGCUUGGUUCCACUCGGCGUGAUAAGUUAUCUAUCGCUGAGGACACUGUAAAAGGUGGCCAAGGUAAAUGCAGAUGAACCGCUUCUAAUAGUCCAUUGACUUGGACAAUACUUUUAUGAUCUGAUCUCAAAUCAGGUAGGACUACCCGCUGAACUUAAGC
rnacentral:misc_RNA from 1 species